GGGCCCGCACAAGCGGCGGAGCAUGUGGAUUAAUUCGAUGCAACGCGAAGAACCUUACCUGGGCUUGACAUAUGCAGGAUCGGCGUAGAGAUACGUUUUCCCUUGUGGUCUGUAUACAGGUGGUGCAUGGUUGUCGUCAGCUCGUGUCGUGAGAUGUUGGGUUAAGUCCCGCAACGAGCGCAACCCUUGUCUUAUGUUGCCAGCACGUUAUGGUGGGGACUCAUGAGAGACUGCCGGGGUUAACUCGGAGGAAGGUGGGGAUGACGUCAAAUCAUCAUGCCCCUUAUGUCCAGGGCUUCACACAUGCUACAAUGGUCGGUACAACGCGCUGCGAGCCUGUGAGGGUGAGCGAAUCGCUGAAAGCCGGCCUCAGUUCGGAUUGGGGUCUGCAACUCGACCCCAUGAAGUCGGAGUCGCUAGUAAUCGCAGAUCAGCAACGCUGCGGUGAAUACGUUCCCGGGCCUU
rnacentral:rRNA from 1 species